AUUGAACGCUGGCGGCAGGCCUAACACAUGCAAGUCGAACGAGCGGCGGACGGGUGAGUAAUGUCUGGGUAACUGCCUGAUGGAGGGGGAUAACUACUGGAAACGGUAGCUAAUACCGCAUACCAUCAGAUGUGCCCAGAUGGGAUUAGCUAGUUGGUGGGGUAACGGCUCACCUAGGCGACGAUCCCUAGCUGGUCUGAGAGGAUGACCAGCCACACUGGACCUGAGAAACGGGCCAUACUCCAACGAGAGGCAGCAGGGGGGAAUAUUGCACAAUGGGCGCAGGCCUGAUGCAGCCAUGCCGCGUGUAUGAAGAAGGCCUUCGGGUUGUAAAGUACUUUCAGCGGGGAGGCGUUACCCGCAGAAGAAGCACCGGCUAACUCCGUGCCAGCAGCCGCGGUAAUUC
rnacentral:rRNA from 1 species